AGGGCCACCGCGCUCCGUUCCUC
rnacentral:miRNA from 1 species